rnacentral:rRNA from 1 species
ACACUCCUGCGGGAGGCAGCAGUGGGGAAUAUUGGACAAUGGGCGCAAGCCUGAUCCAGCCAUGCCGCGUGAGUGAUGAAGGCCCUAGGGUUGUAAAGCUCUUUCACCGGUGAAGAUAAUGACGGUAACCGGAGAAGAAGCCCCGGCUAACUUCGUGCCAGCAGCCGCGGUAAUACGAAGGGGGCUAGCGUUGUUCGGAUUUACUGGGCGUAAAGCGCACGUAGGCGGACUAUUAAGUCAGGGGUGAAAUCCCGGGGCUCAACCCCGGAACUGCCUUUGAUACUGGUAGUCUUGAGGUCGAGAGAGGUGAGUGGAAUUCCGGGUGUAGAGGUGAAAUUCGUAGAUAUUCGGAGGAACACCAGUGGCGAAGGCGGCUCACUGGCUCGAUACUGACGCUGAGGUGCGAAAGCGUGGGGAGCAAACAGGAUUAGAUACCCUUGUAGUCCCAUGA